rnacentral:rRNA from 1 species
AACGAACGCUGGCGGCAGGCCUAACACAUGCAAGUCGAACGCUGUAGCAAUACAGAGUGGCAGACGGGUGAGUAACGCGUGGGAACAUGCCCUUCGGUUCGGAAUAACUCAGGGAAACUUGAGCUAAUACCGGAUACGCCCUUAGGGGGAAAGAUUUAUUGCCGAAGGAUUGGCCCGCGUCCGAUUAGCUAGUUGGUGAGGUAACGGCUCACCAAGGCGACGAUCGGUAGCUGGUCUGAGAGGAUGAUCAACCACACUGGGACUGAGACACGGCCCAGACUCCUACGGGAGGCAGCAGUGGGGAAUAUUGGACAAUGGGCGCAAGCCUGAUCCAGCCGUGCCGCGUGAGUGAUGAAGGCCUUCGGGUUGUAAAGCUCUUUCGCACACGACGAUGAUGACGGUAGUGUGAGAAGAAGCCCCGGCUAACUUCGUGCCAGCAGCCGCAGUAAAAC